AAAUUGAAGAGUUUGAUCAUGGCUCAGAUUGAACGCUGGCGGCAGGCCUAACACAUGCAAGUCGAGCGGUAGCACAGAGAGCUUGCUCUCGGGUGACGAGCGGCGGACGGGUGAGUAAUGUCUGGGAAACUGCCUGAUGGAGGGGGAUAACUACUGGAAACGGUAGCUAAUACCGCAUAAUGUCGCAAGACCAAAGUGGGGGACCUUCGGGCCUCAUGCCAUCAGAUGUGCCCAGAUGGGAUUAGCUAGUAGGUGGGGUAAUGGCUCACCUAGGCGACGAUCCCUAGCUGGUCUGAGAGGAUGACCAGCCACACUGGAACUGAGACACGGUCCAGACUC
rnacentral:rRNA from 1 species